ACUUCCUCGCCACCUUUACCGUCACCUUAUCCGACAACACUAACGACAUUUCAUUCUAAGCAUCCAAGUUCACCUCCUAUGCCACCACAGAGGAAAGACCUUCAGCAGUUGGCCAUUUCAGCAUUUGAUGACACUUAUAAUAGCCGAUUAAGCAAUGAUGAUGAUGAUUUUGCUAUGUUAAGGAGGGACGAAGUGGCAGCCAUGUUUCUGCGGCAGCCGCCAUCAUUGUUAGACAGCGGUGUUGAUGUGAGUGCUGCCCAUGGGUGGGAGUCAGAGCAGAACAACUGCACUAUCUUAGCAGAGUGGAAUGCAAAUAGUCAGGACUACACACCAACUGAAGACGAUGAUUUUUUCCAGUUGGGAUUUCGCCCCCAAGAUGAAAUCACCACUGAGCUGUGAUUGGUCGUCUCGAAUCCUUCAUUUUAUUUGUGAAGUGCAAUAUUUUUUUAUCAAAAUUGAGCCCAAUUGGGGAUUAAGAAGAAUCUGUUUUCAUUACAUUUCAUUAUUGUUGAAGUAAUUCUUGGAGCUACCCUUAUCUUUUAGAAAUGAGCUUCUGUAGAAAUUCGAUUAGGUUUUGUCAAUUUAAGAAAUGCCUUGCUUGUGAAGUAUAAACUGAUGACUUAUUAAUGAUUAAGGGUUUUUCAAGAAGAAUUUUAGAGUAUUUUCUUUGGAGACUUGGAGUUUUCUCAUCAUUGGAACACUCCUCGUUAAUGAAAAAGACUCAAACUCAAAUUUUUCUUCAGAAAAAUUGCUUCAUUGAUGUUACGGAGUAUCAAAAAAUUUUGGCCAGGAACUAUGGUCUGAGUCGAAGCAUGUUUUGCUGUUUUCUCUUCGAAAUUUUGUUUUGAAAAAAGUGCUUACAACAGUUAGUGAAAAAAAUUAAACCCCAACUUUGAUAUGAGCUGCUGCAAUCUCAAUUAUCACCUUUAAAUGAAAGAAAAGGGAGAAAAAUUAAACAGAAUGAUGACAUAUUUCUUAUGGUUUAUACACUUAUGCAGUGCAAUUUUCAGUUACUAACAUCAAAAUUAAUUUUCGUAGCAUUUGAUUUGCUUUACCGUUCUAAAUCUAAAUAUUUAAGAAGAAAUGUGCAUAGAAACUCCUCAAUUCAAAACUAGUUUCUUGGUCCAGCAUGAAGAAUUUCAGAGCAAAUAGAAUCUCUAGUCAAAAAGUCUUGAAUCUCAUGUUCACAAAAAUCGUUUGAAAACAGCUUCAUUUUAAGUGAGUAUUCUUUUAUCCUCUAAUUGUACAAUAAAAGUAGACCUAGGUCUGAUCUAGGAGUAAAGUAGGUUUCAAGCAAUAGAAGAUCUUUCGGAGGAAUCAGAAUAUCCAAAUUUUCAUACACACAUUUGUACAAAAUUAGCUUGAGUAUUGAUCCUUUCAAAUUCGCCUCAUAGUCCAGCAAACAAAACAUUUUAAAAAUUAAUUUACGGCCGUAGUUAGGCGUAAUCGAUUCAAAUGGGCCUGAUUGAAUACUUUCUUUAAAUAAUUGAUUUGGAAAAUCAACUUUAACAUCUUUCAUAAAUGGAUUCUCGAGGUGUUUUUUUUUAUUCUUUUCUUUCUUUCUAUCUUUUGCCCCUCAUACUUCCUUCCCUCUAUCUGUAAAGAGUGAAGUUGUGUUGCCUCAAUGUAAUUCAACCUGAGUCUUCCAAUAAUUAAACUUCCUCUUGCAAUAGUAAGUCUUGGUGCCUACUUUACUUGAACUUAUUUUUCGUGUGAUUUCUGGACAGAGACGGUUAAUUCCAGAAUAUGCUGAAGUUAGAAACUGAUGCCCUUUUGUAUCGUAUAACGUAUCAAAAAUAUCUCUAAACAUCCAAGUCAGUGUUGAAGUGUUAUUGUCUUGAGUAGAUAAGCUGUGUGUUUGUGUGAGUGUUUGUCAGAAUGCACUUGAAUCUUUUGGCUGUACAUAUAAUAGCAAAGAUCUUGCAAAUCUCAUUUUCAUAUUCUCUAUGUGUGGAGAUUUUUCUCCAAGAACUUAUGUAUCCACAAGCGCAAUGAUUGAUGCUGUCCAUUGUCUCUUUGAAUAGUCCCAUUAAGUAUUACUGAACCUACUUACCUAGUAUCCCAAUAGACUGUGUUAUUUCAACAUAUCACUUGCUUUCCUGGAAGAUUGGAAUGGAACACUGAGCUGUAUUGCCUGCAACUUAUGUUCCUUUCACCAGAAUUUAUUGCAACCACCGGAUUUUUCAUAACCAUACUGAUGUAUUAUUUUUAAGUGCUAUCUAAGAAAAGUACCAGGAAACGAUGCCCGUAUUAAAUGAUCGAACUUUGAACAAAGUAAGGAAGCAUGAAUGUCCAAAGAUGUGGAGGCAGCAUAAAUGACUCCUUGUUUUAUUCUUCGUAAUUACUAACUUUGACUGUCUAAUGAGGCUAUUAGAGAGUGGGCACAGAUUUAAUAAAUUCUGCUCAGCCAAUCUUGAAAUCCCUUUAUAACAUUUUUUUUACCGUCUAAACAUUGUUGAUAAUGCUUGCCCAAGUUAUUUAUUUCUUGUUAUUUAUUAUUUUAGAAAUUGAGCACCCAAGUAGUACUUCAUAGAUUGAUGUAAUUCAUUAUUGCAUGAAAACAAAAUUUCUAUUCUUGAAUUAAUUGACUUGGUCAAUGAAUGUUGAAGUGUCGUGUCGGUGCCUUGCCAAAUAAAAAGCGUUCAUCUUUUAGUUAUUUUCAUGUUGUUAACUCUCCCUACCAGUUUUUAUUUCUCAGAAAACUACACAUUAUGAGAGUUGAUUGCUCUUAAACAAGGUGUUCGUUGGAGAACCUUGAAAUUCCGUCCUUCCGCGUUCGAUCCCGAUUUUUUCGAUAUUUUAAGAUAGAAACGGCAAUUUUUCAGUAUUUUUCAUGCCUGUAGUACUUAUUGAGAGGAACAAUUAUGUAGGCAGAUCUACACCAGGAAAAACGUCGAGGAUCAGACACAUGACCCCUGUGAAAUUGUUAACGCUGGGUCCCUCAGGUGUCUCUCUAAAGGUUGAAGAAUAGAUUCUUUGAUUUUCCGUCUCUUGUCUUCCUCAGGAAUUUUCCUUUCAUCUAUUUAUGGACCUUUCUUUUUCGAGCUUUGCUAGCAGUUUCCUAGCAUGUUCUAUACUUGCAAAGUUAAUCAAAGGGAAUUUGAUGAAAUUCCUUAAAUGCUAUGUUUUUUUAUGCAGCUGUGUUUAGUGACCAACAAUUUUUAAUAGUGCCAUCGUCAUUAAAAUAAAAAUUUGUUGGAAUAGCUUUGUGAAUUAUGGGAGCCUGAGAGUCCACGCUAUCUUCCUCAAAAUUUACAGUGCCCAAUAGAUUUAUAUCAUCGCUAGUACACAGUUGCAAAUUUAAUUAUUGUUUCUUUAGGUAAGGAACGCAAAAUUCCGCAUAACUCCUCAUUUUAUCAGCUUUGCCUUCGAACAUAUCGACCAUUGUCAGAACCAAGUUUGUACAUUUUACUCUGUACCUAGAAAAUGUAGGUAUUGUUUAGUACCUUUAUAUAAUAAAAGUGAGCGCCAUUCAGAAUCUAAAAGACAUUUAUUAUCUAAUAAUCUAAGGCUUUUUCGAUACCAUCUUCAAAGAAAAAUUGCAAAAAUUCCUUAAUUAAAUUAAAUUUCUUACUCAAAGAUAAUUCUACAAUGCUAUAUUCCUCUUUUGCGGAAUGAACAAG
rnacentral:lncRNA from 1 species